CGCCCCGCCCGGGGCGCGGUGCCAGGUGCGGCCGCCGCGGGAGAAGCGGCACCUGGAGGCCGCCCGAGCUGCCGGCGCUGAGGUGGACCGUUCUUAACUUUUACUGAAAACAAUAUCUGAAUGAUGUCAUACCUUUGGGAAGAGUCACACCCAUUUCAUGUAGAAUCAGCUACAACAGAGAGGAGUUUCCAGUGCAGAGUGGCUUAAACAGACCAACCUUGUGAAUGAGGCAAAAUAUUAGUGAACAAGAAAUAUUACAGUGGAAGUUUGGAGUUGCAGAAGAGAAUUAACCUGAUCAAUUCCUAACUCUACCUUUGAUCAACAAGUUCCUUUUCAGCCAGUUUGAUCAUCUGUAAAACAAGGCUUUGGAUCAGAUAAUACAAAUGUUUGGAGUUUGCAUGGUUUCAGAGUUUGUAUGUCAGUACUCUUUGAGUGAGUUCAUUUUGAAGAUUUAAAUUAUAAUAAUAAAAACAAUAAAAAAUAACAAUCUUCAUGAGCACUUACUGUGUCCUAGGUGCAUUCUCAUAACUUCUUUACAGAAACCUUAUUAUGUAGGGACUGUUAUUUCCAAAAUAGUCCAGAGAGGUACAAAGAGGUUAAGUAACUUGCCCAAAGACACACAGCUAGUAAAUGGUAAAGCUGGGGUUUGAACUCAACUAGUUGUCUCCAAAGAUUAAACUUUUAACUGUUAAUUUAAAACACACAAUUAAAAAAACAAACCACAUUAAAAAAUUCAAAUUUAU